AACGAACGCUGGCGGCGCGCCUAAUACAUGCAAGUCGAGCGAGAAGACGUAGCAAUACGUUUGUAAAGCGGCGAACGGGUGAGGAAUACAUGGGUAACCUACCCUCGAGUGGGGAAUAACUAGCCGAAAGGUUAGCUAAUACCGCGUACGCUCCUUGGACUUCGGUUCAGGGAGGAAAGCGAUACCGUGGGUAUCGCGCUCUUGGAUGGGCUCAUGUCCUAUCAGCUUGUUGGUGAGGAACGGCUCACCAAGGCUUCGACGGGUAGCUGGUCUGAGAGGACAAUCAGCCACACUGGCACUGCGACACGGGCCAGACUCCUACGGGAGGCAGCAGUAAGGAAUAUUGCGCAAUGGGCGAAAGCCUGACGCAGCGACGCCGCGUGGGGGAGUGAAGGUCUUCGGA
rnacentral:rRNA from 1 species